GAAAACAACUAAGAUGUAGUAAUUUUUUUUUCCUGGUUCAAACCUUCAAUAACUUGCUCAUUCAGCAGUCUCUCUGAGCUACAUUUUUAUUUGUAAAGUGACUCUGUCUGCAUGGCAAUGAGCAGGUGCGUGUUUUUUCCACAUUCGCCCUUUCUUGCAGUAUCCAGGGAAACACAUCAUUACAAAGGGUUUCUACCUGAAAUCUUUCAUGGAAGGCCUACAAUUCGAAAAGCUGCACAUGUUUACAGAAGAGCUCUUACCCUCCAUGCAAACACUUUGCUCUGUGGUGUCACAGCUUUGUGACAAUAAGAUGGCAAUCUCGGAUCUACAAGGUGCUGUCGGGAAUCAAAUAAAAUAUGUUAUCAGAGAUAUCAUCACAUCUAUAGUGUUUAACAGAGCUUUAUGCCAACUACUAAGACAAAGCUUUAACAAAGUUUAUAGAAUACUGAAACUCGUAACAAUUACCUCUCUACGUGAUGCUGUAAGGAAUCUUGCUAAUUUGGUAGGAAGAGGAAGCAUUUAGGAAAGGGUUUAGUAUCUACCAAAAGUACUUGACCUCAAGUAACCAAUAGUAAUGCAAACUUGCUUUAAAGGAACCAAAGGCAUUGCCAAGUAUUUGCCAAAAGGAGGCACUUUUUAUUUAAAAUUUGAGACUAAUGAGAUCUCAAAAAUCAGCCCCAAAAAGGUAUUAUCCAUUUAAGGUUAUAAUUUUCACUAAGAUGUAGAUAUUUCUCUUAUUGUUUUCAUGUAAAAUAGUAUAGAGUUGUUUUGUUGGUUUAAGAGUAACAUUCAGUAGUAAUACAAAGUUUUUUUUCUAUGUAGAAAUUAGUUUUCUUUUCUUGCUUGCAAUAGAAAUGCAAUGUGAUAGGUGUUUCUCUUCUUAUUUUCAUUGUCACAUUAUGUCUUAGCAUCUCACUUUAUGAAAAAAAGGAGAAAGAUACCAAUCUACAGAGCCCUGCUUGUUGAAGCACUAGUUUAAUCAACAAAAAAUUAUGGCAAUCGGGGGUCCAUUCAUCUAUUGCCUUUAUGUUGUUUUUUAAAAGAAAAACCAUGAUGCCUUUGUAUUUGCUGUUUGCACCCCUGAAAUCAAUUCCAUAUCAUGUUUGAAUGCCAUACAUUUUGCACAUGUACUGUACAUAAGUAAUGCAUACUGUAUUUUUAUAUGUGUGCACAUUUAUCAUCAGAUCUUUUGUACAUAGUGGCAGUAUUGUAGCUGAUCGGGAAAUGUUUGAUAUCUCAGCAAUUUUGCAUUUUUGUGUCUCAAAUAAAAGACAUUUUGAUGU
rnacentral:lncRNA from 1 species